GUGCAGUAGAGGGUAGAGCGAGGAGGAGGUGCAGUAGAGGGUAGAGCGAGGAGGAGGUGCAGUAGAGGGUAGAGCGAGGAGGAGGUGCAGUGAGGGUAGAGCGAGGUGGAGGUGCAGUGAGGGUAGAGCGAGGAGGAGGUGCAGUGAGGGUAGAGCGAGGAGAUCCAGUGAGGGAAGAGCAUGGAGGAGGUCCAUUGAGAAUGUAGCGAGGAGGUGCAGUGUUUAGUUGCUAUGGUAACUGUUAUGGUGUUAAAGGCUCUAGUAAGAGAUUGACCUCAGUUCUCAGGUCAGUCUCCGUGCCAACCAGGCCAAACACCCGACAGAGAUUAACUACUCAACUCAUUUUCCCUCUAAACUGUGCUGCUUUCAACCUCUUCCAUCCCUCCAUCCAUCCGUCUAUCCGGAACCUGGUUCUAGACACUUCUCAUGAGGCCACAGUUCUAACAGAACCUCACAUUCCGUUACACUAACCCCCCAUCAGAUCCCUGUAGACCAUGGAUGGGGAGUAGUGUAACGGAACGUGAGGUUCUGUUAGAACUGUGUUCUACAGGGAUCUGAUGGUCGUAUAUCCUGUUGAGUCUUAUCUGCCGAUGCUUGAUAAAACAGUCUGAAUAGCGGCAGCAAAUUCACGCCAAAACCUGCCUCCCUUCCUGCCUCUCUGCCUCCCUCCCUGCCUCCCUCCCUGCCUCUCUGCCUCUCUGCCUCGCUGUGUUUAUGCUGAGAGGUGGAAGUGGACGUUUGGGUCACUGCACUGUUCAGACUCUGUUUGGUUGCCAUGGUUACAGCUGGAAGAUCUCUGAAAGGCUUUUCUCUGGUGUCCGUGUGAUGGAGCUGUAGAACCGAGUGUUCUCCAGACCAAUCCGUAACGUUCCACAGAGUUCCGAUCAGACAGAGAUGUUUAAGUUACCACAUCUGUUUCACAGCCUUAGACUUGAGUAUAAUCUAGUACCCGGUUCUGUUUAACAAAGUCAAACUGGUAGUAGAUGAAGGUAGACUGUAGUAGAUCGGGUGGUUAAACUGGUAGUAGAUGAAGGUUAAACUGGUAGUAGAUGUAGGUAGACUGUAGUAAAGCGGGUGGUUAAACUGGUAGUAGAUGAAGGUAGACUGUAGUAGAGAGGGUGGUUAAACUGGUAGUAGAUGAAGGUUAAACUGGUAGUAGAUGAAGGUAGACUGUAGUAGAGAGGGUGGUUAAACUGGUAGUAGAUGAAGGUUAAACUGGUAGUAGAUGAAGGUUAAACUGGUAGUAGAUGAAGGUUAAACUGGUAGUAGAUGAAGGUAGACUGUUUUAGAGUGGGUAAAGUUCACUGUGAUGUCACUCUUUGAUCUGUUCGGUUCACCUGGAUUCAGUCUACAGCUGGUGUUAGCUCAAUGCUAAGUGCUAGCGGUCAGCUAGUGCUAAUCCCUGCAGCUCUACAGGCUGUGAAAGGAGCGUCAGUAGACGCGGCAGCUGCAGUUUGUUGAUCUCUCCCGGCACCAUCUGUGGCAGCAUAUUGUGGCGGGUCUGUUGGCGGCGGUGGCGGGUGAGACGGUAAGACGCUGGCGGACGUUAGCGAGAUUAGCUCUCAGUGUGUCUCCAGUCUGAGAGACGCUUCAGAAGAGGCAAGAUCACAGCAUGGACAAACUGCGGCUGAGCUUCAGCAAGAUCUACCGCUUCACCGUACGCUUCACCUCCACCUACACCACCACCACCACCUUCACCACCCGCUCCACACCGUACACCCGCUCCACCCGUACACCCGCUCCACACCGUACACCACCUCCACCCGUACACCCGCUCCACCUGUACACCCGCUCCACACCGUACACCACCUCCACCCGUACACCCGCUCCACCCGUACACCACCUCCACCCGUACACCCGCUCCACCUGUACACCCGCUCCACACCGUACACCACCUCCACCCGUACACCCGCUCCACCCGUACACCCUCUCCACACCGUACACCACCUCCACCCGUACACCCGCUCCACCCGUACACCCGCUCCACACAGCAGAUUAUACUCCUAUUAUACCAGAUUAUACAGAGCGAGCCG